rnacentral:tRNA from 1 species
GGGCAGGUACCCAAGUGGCCAAAGGGGACUGACUGUAAAUCAGUUGGCUCAGCCUUCGGAGGUUCGAAUCCUUCCCUGCCCACCU